rnacentral:rRNA from 1 species
GCAUCGGGAUCUACCCAAACGUGGGGGAUAACGUAGGGAAACUUACGCUAAUACCGCAUACGUCCUAUGGGAGAAAGCGGGGGACCGAAAGGCCUCGCGCGGUUGGACGAACCGAUGUUCGAUUAGCUAGUUGGUAGGGUAAUGGCCUACCAAGGCGACGAUCGAUAGCUGGUCUGAGAGGAUGAUCAGCCACACUGGAACUGAGACACGGUCCAGACUCCUACGGGAGGCAGCAGUGGGGAAUAUUGGACAAUGGGCGCAAGCCUGAUCCAGCAAUGCCGCGUGUGUGAAGAAGGCCUC